AGAGUACUUUUGAGCCAAGGAUGACUUGCCGGCCUAAGUAUUAUCUCUUCUUAUAGGAUAUUGCUGGCCGGCGAGACAUCUUGGCUCACUUGUGCUCC
rfam:Glycine max cultivar Williams 82 chromosome 15, whole genome shotgun sequence.